CGGCCGCAUCCCGAUCACCGAAGUUAAGCAACGCCGAGCUUGAUCAGUACCUAGAUGGGUGACCGCUUGGGAAUAUAAGGUGCUGUAAG